rnacentral:rRNA from 1 species
UACGGAGGGCGCAAGUGUUAUCCGGAAUCACUGGGUUUAAGGGUUGCGUAGGCUGCUGCAUAAUUCAGGGGUGAAAGGUUGUCGCUUAACGAUAGAAUUGCCUUUGAUACUGUGCGGCUUAAAAGUAGGUGAGGUUGGCGGAAUGUGACAUGUAGCGGUGAAAUGCGUAGAUAUGUCAUAGAACACCGAUUGCGAAGGCAGCUGGCUAACCUACAUUUGACUCUGAGGCACGAAAGCGUGGGUAGCUAACAGG